CUUCCGGUCGGCGCGGCGUGCGCAGGAUGGGCCCCGGGCGUCCCGACGCCGUGAGAGACACCCGGGCCGCGAGUGACCCCGGGCCGCGAGUGACUCCCGGCGCCGUGAGUGACCCCCGGGCCGCGAGUGACCCCGGGCUGCGAGUGACUCCCGGCGCCGUCCAGGGCACCGGCGGCAGCAGCGCCAUCAGCAAGUGCUCGGCGGCUGCACGGGGCUAUUUCCAGGACCGGUUCCUUCGGCUUCUGGCGGGGCGGCGGCGGCGGCGAGCGCCGCUUAUCCACAGGGGUUAUUACAUCCGUGCCCGUGCUGUAGAUCACUGUGUUCAGGACUUCCUGCUGAAGACACAAAGACUAUCCAGGAGACAGAUCCUGUCUUUAGGAGCUGGCUUUGAUUCUUUAUACUUCCGUUUGAAGGAUAUGGGCCUUCUGCAUCACACUGUGGUAUAUGAGGUAGAUUUCCCAAAUGUGGCAUGCCAAAAAGCUGCUCUGAUCAAAGGAAUGAAGGAGUUGUCAGCACUGGUGGGAGACACUGGAGGGGAAGGAAAAGGAGCCGUUACCUUUUCUGGAGAGGAUUAUAAAUUACUGGGAGUGGAUUUAUCAGACCUGUCUGAGCUGGAGAGAACUCUGGAGGAAGCAGGACUCAACAAUGAAAUCCCCACCCUCUUCAUUGCAGAGGUGGUGCUCACCUACAUGGAGAACACCAGGUCAGAUGCCUUGAUUCAGUGGGCAGCAGAGCAUUUCCCUCGGGCAUGCUUCCUGGUGUAUGAGCAGGUGCACCCAGAGGACCCCUUUGGACGUGUCAUGCAGCAGCAUUUCAGGCAGCUGAACACUGCCCUGCACUCCCUGGCACAGUACGCUGACUGUGAGGCUCAGCAGAGGCGCUUUCUGGGGAAGGGCUGGACUGAGUGCAGUAUCAUGGAUAUGAAUGAGUUUUUCACCUGUUGUAUUCCAGCAGAUGAGCAGCAAAGAAUGCAGACUCUGGAGCCUUUUGAUGAGUACGAGGAAUGGCAUCUGAAAUGUUCUCAUUACUUUGUGUUGGCUGCAUCAAAGGGGAUGGAACCUUCCUGGACUCCGUUGUUACCCAGUAUGACAGUUCCUCGUCAUGCUGGUCCUGUUGGGAUGGCUGGGAGUGUCCCUGCGGCAGUAUGUGCAAGGCUCUCAGGAAUUCCUGGUCUGAGACGUUACGGUCACCGCUCUGUUCUUAUAAAACCCAAUGUGGUUCUUACCACGGGAGGCUUUGGGGAGGAGCGUGGACAACACUGCCGCAUGAGAAAUUUCCAUGUGCUGAGUAAGCAUGCAGGCUACUGGGAAGCUGUCAGUGUGACACAGAAUAUUCCUGAUAAAAGAUGGGGUGAGAGGUUGUACCACACCGUGUCUUGUCUCUCAGACACUCUGGCCCUGGUGGUAGGAGGACGAACAUCCCCAUCAAGCACAGGCUUGGGAAUGUUGUGGCUGAAGUUCCCCAAAACCUGUAAUGCUUCAGGCCCAGAUGACGUUGCAGUGGAGCUUGUAAGUCUACAGCCUGCUGCUGAAGCAGCAGCUUUGCGUUGGAGACACAGCACAACUGAAAUGACCUUCAAAGGUGAGCAGUACUUGUUUGUGUAUGGUGGCCGCUCUGCUGUGGAGCCUGUGCUCGGGGAUUGGUAUUUCCUGCACACUCCAGAGCUCUCCUACACUGCGAUUGCUGUUGAUGGUCCAGUUCCAGAAAGCCGCCACUCUCACAGUGCCUGCAGCUGGGAAGGAGGUGUGCUGAUUGCAGGAGGUCUGGGAGCAGCUGAGCUGCCCUUGGGUUCAGUUUUCCUUCUGAGGGAGCUCGAACAUGGCUUUCAGUGGCAGACAAUAGAGACACACCCUCCUCUUGUCCCAAGGUAUUCACAUACUGCACAUGUGCAUGAGGGAAAGCUUCUGCUCGUUGGUGGAGUGUGGUUUCAUGCAUCCUCUGUGCCAGGCGUCACUGUCAUUGACUUAAUGACUGGUCUCUGCUUGGACUAUGUGAUUAAUGUGGAGCACCUGGAGUGGCCAUUAAUGCUACACAAUCAUAGUAGUGUCUUUCUGCCAGAUGAGAAGGAGCUGUUGGUUAUUGGCGGUGGUGGAAACUGCUUCUCCUUUGGGACACACUUGAACCCAGAGCCUGUCUCACUGAGCCUCAGCAGCAUCCUGAUCAGUCACUGAGUGGGACCAAGCAGGGCUGAACCAUGCACUGUGGGGAGACGUCUGUUCACUCUAGAUCCAAAAGCAGCACAAUGCUUCCACAAAGGCUUUGUAUCCAGAAUGGGUUUGUGAAGAGGAUCCGUCACAACUCGAAGCAUCCAAGCACAGCGAGAGGCCGGCUGGAGGGGCAGAGGAACGUGGACAGGGCACGGACACCAUCAGACAUGGAGCUGCCCCAUGGCAGCUCCCCAGGCAGCUCCAUGAGCUCCAGGAGGCAUUUCCCAAGGUUCAUCCGCAGCUGCUGGGACUCCCAGGCGCUCUUCGAGGAGCAGCGCAAGGAGCUGGAGGCACAGCUGGCCCAGUGGCGAUGGGGCAGGGGGAGUGUCAGGGUGGUCCAUGCUGAUCUGCAUGUUAUGCCAAGGCUGCUGGGGGCCAGAGAGCAUCCCCAGUGCCUUGGAGUGGAGUUGGCAAGGCCAGACAUGAACAAGGUGACAGAAGAGGUCAAACAUAAGGACGUAAGACCAUGCAGCAGCGACAGCUGCAUGAUGCUGCAACACAGAAGAUCUGUGGAGACGGCCAGGUUGCUACCUAGACUAGUAGUGAUCAUGAAUCCCGUUGUAUUGGAAAACAGCAGCAGCUCCAUGGAGCUGGAACACAGCACUGCUGCUGGAAGGUUCCUGGGGCAGCUUCGUGCCCGCCUUCGGAGAUCCCUGAAAGCCUGGCACACAUGCCGUGUUCAGCGCCGCCGGUGCUUCAGCAUCCGCUUCAAGUCCCACUGGUGGCGGCGGUGGUGGACCCAGUUGAGAAAAAGGGUGUAGUAAGAAUGAGUAGGCAGGGAGGGGUAGGGGAGUAGGGGGUUUCAGGAACUGCCUGGGACAGCUGAAUCCCUGGACCUCUACAGAUAUCUCUGUAGAGUCUUCCUGUCCUCUGGCAGAUCCUGUCCUCUACAAGUUGGCUGAGGGUCCCCUCCUCCACGUCACUGAUAGUAGCAGGAUUGGUAUCAGUGCUGCCUAGAGGAGCUCCACUGCUGACCGGAUACCAGCUGAAUUAAACUUUCCCCCACCACCCUCUGGGUCUGGCCAUCCAGACCCUUUUAUGCAGUGAACAGUGGACCUGUCCGAGCCAUGGGCAGCCACUUUCUCCACAAGAACAGUUUGGGGGAUGGUGUCAAAAGCCCAGGUAAACAUCAUCCCCAGCCUUUCCCUCUUCCGACAAGCAGGUCACUUUGUCAUAGAAGGAAAGCUGUGGACAAUCCAGGAAACUUCAUUGCACCCUGAUUUAAGGGUAGAAUAAAGGACCCUGGGAACUACCAAUCUAGCAGAUUGGUAAUCUACCAGCCUUCCCUCUGUGUCUGGGAAGAUUUCCACUUUGGGAUCUGCUCUUUCCCUGAUUCUUUCAUCACCACUGUAAAUUCCUAGACAGCCAAAUCAUUCCCUCAUAUACAGGGCUACCCCACUGCUUCUGCUUCCUUGCUGAGCCUUUCUGAAGAGUUUAUCUCCUCCCAAUUGCAACACCAGCCUAUUUGCUGGCAGGAUGAUGUGAGGAGCAGCAAAGGCCUUGACGCUCGGCACUGACUGAAACAUCCCAGGGUUAUCGACAGUCUUUUCAGCACAAACCACACCAAACCAAACCACACGCCCAUUGGAAGAAAUUGAACUUUUCCUGCCCAGCUCAGCAUUUAUCUCCAGCCUUUAUUAUUCUGUGUUGUGUAUGUCCUGCUCAGGUCCCACACCAUCACAACAUAUCCUCAGCACUCCUUUGCCCAUGAAAUGUCUGGGAACCUCCAUCAACCUCCAUCAACCUCCAGAGCUGGGCAACAGCAGUCUUGUGGAGCCACUGAGGAGGAUGGUGAUGGAAGUGGAGGAUCUUGUAGAGCCAGACAGGAGAAGCAGCUUCAUGGGGCUGUGCAGCACCGUCAGUUGCUUUGGGUAGAAGUGAUUCCCCAGGUCUUCUGCUUUCCCCUUUUAAAAAUGGGGGUAAUAUUUCCCUUUUCCAGUCAUCAGGGACUUUACCUAACUGCCACGAUUUAAAAAAAAAAUUAUAGAUCAUUUCUUAGCAACUUCUGCUAGCUCCUCAGUACUUGGGGAUGUAUCUCUUCAGGUCCCAUGACUUGAGCACAUUCAAGUUCCUUAGAUGGUCUUGAAUUUGAUCAUCUCAGUGGGUUCAGGGUGUUCAUUCUUCCAGUCCCUGCAUUCACCUUUCUCAAUUUGAGCAGCAUGGCUGAAGCACUUGCCAUUGAAGACUGAGGCACAGAAGUCCUUGAGAACCUCAGUCUUCUCUUUGUCCAGGGUAGUCAGGUCUCCUGUUUCCUUCUGGAGAGGGCCCACAUCACCCAACUCUCUUGCUUGCAACAUAUCCAUAGAAACCCUGUUAUCUUUAAUAUCCCUGUCACUGCCCUCCCCUUAAUGUUCAACCACAAGCUCUCAGCUGGCUCCUUGUACUUCCCCAGGCAGAGUUCCAUAUCCAUAGAGGGCUACAUCCCCUCCUCAUCUUCCUAGCCUGUCUUUUCUAAAAAGCCUAAACCCUUCCAUUCCAGUGCACUAGUCAUAGGAACCAUCCCACCGUGUCUCCAUGAUAUUCUGCUUUCCUCUUCACUUGUCGGUCAUUGCCAGUGCUUUCUUUUAUUCAAAUAAGAAAAUUGCAGAGGAGUUUGUUUAAAAAUGGCUUUUCCAUUUGGAGGAGAUGAAAGAACCUGAAACUGCUUCUUCUGCUAAAUCCAUAAAGGUGGGAUGCUGUAUGGAGCUCACUGCUCUAACUAGCUAGUAACUUCCACUGAUAUUUUAACUAUUAAAAAAUAUUACUUUUAUAAUGAGUGUGUGUGUAUAAAAUACAAAAACCUGUUGAGCUUUCCCCAUUCUAUGAAACUUAGUUCACGCACCUACAUCCAAGGCCAUCUACAUUUGGCCAUGGCCCCACCUUUGGCUCCUGGGUUUGUGGUCCCACCCCCCUGACACAGCUCCCUCCACCUUCUGAGGUGCAGCAGCCUCAGGUGUGGCCAGUGAGGAUGAGGAGGGUGCAGGUGCUGCUGGGGCAUGUGUGUCACCUGGUCCUGGUGCAAAUUGCUGCCGGAGGGGCGAGCCGAGGGCUGGUUCCAGGGAGUCUCUGAAGGAGCGAUGGUGAGAGCAUCUCACAGGGCCUGGGGAGUACCUGCAGCAUGGCUCAAGGAAGGGGCGCAGGGACAAGCCCUGUGCCAGGGGCAGCGCCGGAGAGGAGAGCAGCGCACCGACCCUAACGCACCUGAGCAGGUGGGGCAGGGUGGGGGUCACCAGGAAGUUCUUUUUCCUUUCAUCUUUUGAUUUCAUCUUCCCAGUCCAUCCCACUGGCCCCAGAAAGAUAAGGUUUUGUGGGGAAGAGGGUUUAAAUUGAGGAAAAAAAAUCACCUUUUCUGUUUCAGUCUGUGUUUAAUUUGAGGUUAAACACCCUAUUUAAUCUCUAGUAUUUAUUAAAAGUGGAAAAAAUAUCUAACAGUUUUGAGGUCAGUAUUGUCAGGUUUUGUAGUCUAAAAAGCAGAGAUGAGGGCAGGAACUUUCACAUGGAUUUUAGUUUUAGGGAAGGACAUUUAUCCAGGCAGUGUAUCCUGGCACAAGAAGUCAGUCACUGCCCUUUCUGAGCAUAACCUACAGGAACAAAUAAUUUUUCCUCUGUUGACUUUUAAAUAGCUUAAGCAUGUUCUGUAAUUACUAAAUGCAGGCUAAAAAAAUCUUUUCCACAAAUCUUCAGAACAUUUUAUGGCUUGCAUUAAACCUGUUGACUAUCUUUAUGACUGGACACUUAUUCCCAAUCCACACUACAGUUCCUUAUGGAUACUGCCACCAAAGUCAAGGAGAUUACUUAAAUACAAAAAGAAACUCUACCAGAAAGAAAAAAAAAAAAUUAAAAAUAGAAGUAAAGCUCCCACUGUUCACCUGGACCAUCAUACAGCUGCAGCAACCAAGGCAGUCACUGCCAGGCCUCUAGCAGGUGCUGGAUACGGAGAAAAUUACUUCCAUGGAAGGAAAACUUUCUGUAAAACAGCCAAAAUCAAGCUCAGAAAUGCUGUGCAGCCAGGUGCUUUGGCUUCCUAAAGAACACAAACAUAUUUUAUGAUUAGCUGCUGCUGACUAGCAGCAUGACUGCACCCAGUCAGUGCUCUGUCCCUUCCUUACAGGGACAGCCUUGGCCCCAUGGCUCCCAAAGGUGUUUCCUCUGCCCUUCCAAAUAACAAAGUACUUUGCAUAGAAAUCAAUAUAGCUUAAAAGGAAUUCUUUAUUGGUAUUUAUUUGGUGUGUGUGGGGAGGGGUUAUAU